rnacentral:sRNA from 1 species
UCGAUGUCAUCAUCACUUUCAGCAUCAGA